rnacentral:lncRNA from 1 species
AAAUACUUCCUCAGAAAUCUCUCUCUGAACACAGCCCAAGAAAUCUCAGCAUCUCCAGCAGCCUCCAACUCAGUGCGGGUAGCAACCCACCAAUCAUCAGCUUCUUCUGAUAGCAUAUGCGUACCGAACCUGACCUUCUGGUUAUCAGCACACUCAGUUACUCUGAAGAUCCUCUCUAUCUCCUUCAGCCACUUCUGAGCACCAUCUGGAUCGUAUGCUCCCUUAAACAUUGGAGGAUUGUUCUUUUGGAACUCACUCAACUGACGAGCAACUCCCAUUCCCACAACAUUCGGAUUUCCUCCAAGUACUCCAGCC